rnacentral:rRNA from 1 species
UUGACCUCGGAUCAGGUAGGAGUUACCCGCUGAACUUAAGCAUAUCAAUAAGCGGAGGAAAAGAAACCAACCGGGAUUGCCUCAGUAACGGCGAGUGAAGCGGCAAGAGCUCAAAUUUGAAAUCUGGCCCCUUUGGGGUCCGAGUUGUAAUUUGCAGAGGAUGCUUCGGGUGCGGUCCCCGUCUAAGUGCCCUGGAACGGGCCGUCAUAGAGGGUGAGAAUCCCGUCUGGGAUGGGCGGCCGCGCCCGUGUGAAGCUCCUUCGACGAGUCGAGUUGUUUGGGAAUGCAGCUCUAAGCGGGUGGUAAAUUUCAUCUAAAGCUAAAUACUGGCCGGAGACCGAUAGCGCACAAGUAGAGUGAUCGAAAGAUGAAAAGCACUUUGAAAAGAGAGUUAAACAGCACGUGAAAUUGUUGAAAGGGAAGCGUUGUCCACCAGACUCGCCCGGGGGGGUUCAGCCGGCACGUGUGCCGGUGUACUCCUCUCCGGGCGGGCCAGCAUCGGUUUGGGCGGCUGGUGAAAGGCCCCGGGAAUGUGCCACCCUUCGGGGUGCCUUAUAGCCCGGGGUGCCAUACAGCCAGCCUGGACCGAGGCCCGC